CACAGCCUCUCCCCCUUGACACUAUUUGGCCCAGGUGUGUCGGUACUUGGCCCAUCGUGUACUUCGGCUGGGGCUCGGCCCUCUUCGGCCGGCUGGACUGCAACAGCAGCAGCAGCAGCGGUGGCAGCCCGGUGGUCUGGCGCUCAUUUCAGUUCAUUGCGAACCGUCGAGCGAUUCGGACGUGCGAGCGGAAGUCGUGUGCUCUCUCUCACCUGCCAGUUGAAAUUGAAUGAGUGUUUGGCGCCCUCGUCGUGUUAAUUGCUACCUUUAUUUAUUUUUUUUCUUGUGUUGUUUGACUGAAAAAAGUAUUUAUUUUCAAAACCACCGUUCGAGCCAACACAAGAGAGAGGAUUGGAGAUUAGAAGAGAGAGCUCUAACAAGAAGGAGACGAGAGAGAGGAGAUCCUGAGCCCUUUUUGUUAAAUCGCAUCAGCAUCUGUUGCACAGACUUUUGGCCCAGAGAUGCCCCUUUGAGGACUGCCCUGCCCCACGCCAAAGGAGAAACACAAAGAGCUGGAAAGGUAAGUGA
rnacentral:misc_RNA from 1 species